AAUUUAAGCAUAUAAAUAAGCGGAGGAAAAGAAACUAACUAGGAUUGGUCUAGUAACGGCGAGUGAAGCGCCAAUAGCCCAGGCUGUGAAUUGGCACUUGUGUCGAAUUGUGGAAUGCUGGUCAGUUUGUCCAACUUGCGGACCAAGUCCCCUGGAAUGGGGCAGCACAGAGGGUGAGACUCCCGUUYGUCUGCAGGUGCGAAAAUUGGCCGAAGAGUCGAGUUGUUUGGGAUUGCAGCUCUAAGUGGGUGGUAAAUUCCAUCCAAGGCUAAAUACUGGUGAGAGACCGAUAGCAUACAAGUACCGUGAGGGAAAGAUGCAAAGCCGCGCGAGAGCGCUGUCAAAGAGUACCUGAAAUUGCUGAAAAGGAAGCGAAGGAAACCAGUGCUAGCCAUCCCGCACUUCCCCAACUGCUUGCAGCUGGGGCGCUGCGGCUGGCGUUGUCUGGAUCCCUGGGUUGGAGCGGAAGAUGAUGACGCUACGGCCUGGGCAUGCAGACGAAAUGGUUUUCUUUUUCCCGUCUUGAAACAC
rnacentral:rRNA from 1 species